AUUGAACGCUGGCGGCAGGCCUAACACAUGCAAGUCGGACGGUAGCACAGAGGAGCUUGCUCCUUGGGUGACGAGUGGCGGACGGGUGAGUAAUGUCUGGGGAUCUGCCCGAUAGAGGGGGAUAACCACUGGAAACGGUGGCUAAUACCGCAUAACGUCGCAAGACCAAAGAGGGGGACCUUCGGGCCUCUCACUAUCGGAUGAACCCAGAUGGGAUUAGCUAGUAGGCGGGGUAAUGGCCCACCUAGGCGACGAUCCCUAGCUGGUCUGAGAGGAUGACCAGCCACACUGGAACUGAGACACGGUCCAGACUCCUACGGGAGGCAGCAGUGGGGAAUAUUGCACAAUGGGCGCAAGCCUGAUGCAGCCAUGCCGCGUGUAUGAAGAAGGCCUUCGGGUUGUAAAGUACUUUCAGCGGGGAGGAAGGCGAUGCGGUUAAUAACCGCGUCGAUUGACGUUACCCGCAGAAGAAGCACCGGCUAACUCCGUGCCAGCCGCCGCGGUAA
rnacentral:rRNA from 1 species